UAUGCUUUUAUUUGUGUUGUCCGGUCCAUUAAAAGCUUUAACAUAUCUGUUAACGCAUGGUAUAGUUGGUUUCAUGAUGGGCUUUAUAUGGAGGUUCUCCUAAGAGGUCCAAAGAAUGCUCGUGAAACUAUGAAAAACAUUGGCCCAGCUUUUGGUGUGCCACACAGCCAUUCCAAACCACAUGUGCGAUCAAAGGGAAGGAAGUUUGAGAGAGUUAGAGGGACAAGGAAUAGCAAAGGAUUUAGAGUUUGAGUUGUUUUUAGUUCCAAAAUGUCAGUCAAUUAUUUUAUUUUUGAUUAUUAUGUCCCAAAUUUUGUUAGACUCUAGGUUCCAAUGGAACUUGUUUAUGUUAUUAUUAAUUCCUAGCUUGAACUUUUUAUGUUAUUUUCCCUUGGGCUUAUUAAUUACUAACUUAAAUUGUUUAUGUUA